rnacentral:rRNA from 1 species
GUGGAAUAUUGGUCAAUGGACGCGAGUCUGAACCAGCCAAGUAGCGUGAAGGAUGACCGCCCUAUGGGUUGUAAACUUCUUUUAUAAGGGAAUAAAGUGAGGGACGUGUCCCUUUUUGUAUGUACCUUAUGAAUAAGGAUCGGCUAACUCCGUGCCAGCAGCCGCGGUAAUACGGAGGAUCCGAGCGUUAUCCGGAUUUAUUGGGUUUAAAGGGAGCGUAGGUUGACGUAUAAGUCAGCUGUGAAAGUUUACGGCUCAACCGUGAAAUUGCAGUUGAUACUGUAUGUCUUGAGUGUACAAGAGGUGGGCGGAAUUCGUGGUGUAGCGGUGAAAUGCUUAGAUAUCACGAAGAACUCCAAUUGCGAAGGCAGCUCACUGGGGUACAACUGACACUGAGGCUCGAAAGUGUGGGUAUCAAAC